rnacentral:rRNA from 1 species
CUACGGGCUGCAGCAGUGAGGAAUAUUGGUCAAUGGGCGCAAGCCUGAACCAGCCAUCCCGCGUGCAGGAAGACGGCGCUAUGCGUUGUAAACUGCUUUUCCAGGGGAAGAAAACUCCCGACGUGUCGGGAUUUGCCGGUACCCUGGGAAUAAGCAUCGGCUAACUCCGUGCCAGCAGCCGCGGUAAUACGGAGGAUGCGAGCGUUAUCCGGAUUUAUUGGGUUUAAAGGGUGCGUAGGCGGAUUAAUAAGUCAGUGGUGAAAACCUGCAGCUUAACUGUAGAAUUGCCAUUGAUACUGUUAGUCUUGAGUACGGUCAAGGUAGGCGGAAUGUGUAAUGUAGCGGUGAAAUGCUUAGAUAUUACACAGAACACCGAUUGCGAAGGCAGCUUACUGGGCCAUUACUGACGCUGAGGCACGAAAGCGUGGGGAGCGAACAGGAUUAGAUACCCCAGUAGUC